rnacentral:rRNA from 1 species
UACGUAGGGUGCGAGCGUUAAUCGGAAUUACUGGGCGUAAAGCGUGCGCAGGCGGUUUGUUAAGACCGAUGUGAAAUCCCCGGGCUCAACCUGGGAACUGCAUUGGUGACUGGCAAGCUAGAGUCUGGCAGAGGGGGGUAGAAUUCCACGUGUAGCAGUGAAAUGCGUAGAGAUGUGGAAGAAUACCGGUGGCGAAGGCGGCCCCCUGGGCCAAUACUGACGCU